CCUUGACAUACUAAGAACUUUCCAGAGAUGGAUUGGUGCCUUCGGGAACUUAGAUACAGGUGCUGCAUGGCUGUCGUCAGCUCGUGUCGUGAGAUGUUGGGUUAAGUCCCGNAACGAGCGCAACCCUUUUCCUUAUUUGCCAGCGGGUCAUGCCGGGAACUUUAAGGAUACUGCCAGUGACAAACUGGAGGAAGGCGGGGACGACGUCAAGUCAUCAUGGCCCUUACGGCCAGGGCUACACACGUGCUACAAUGGUCGGUACAAAGGGUUGCUACCUCGCGAGAGGAUGCUAAUCUCAAAAAGCCGAUCGUAGUCCGGAUCGCAGUCUGCAACUCGACUGCGUGAAGUCGGAAUCGCUAGUAAUCGCGGAUCAGAAUGCCGCGGUGAAUACGUUCCCGGGCCUUGUACACACCGCCCGUCACACCAUGGGAGUUUGUUGCACCAGAAGUAGGUAGUCUAACCGCAAGGAGGACGCCUACCACGGUGUGGCCGAUGACUGGGGUGAAGUCGUAACAAGGUAAGCGUAGAUGA
rnacentral:rRNA from 1 species